rnacentral:lncRNA from 1 species
AGGAAACCUGUAAAUGAAUUUUAAGCACAAGAAAAUGCUAGACUUCAGCAAGUGUUACAGGGAGCAAUCACGCUACCAGUGUAAAACAAAGGCAGACCCUAAUUUCAAAGGCAAUGCAUUUAGUACAAUUAAAGAAACACAGUUUAUAUUUUUAUUAAAGAAUUCUGCAGCUAAGGCAUACAAUUUCUAAAUCUUUCUCUAAAAAUAGCAUUUGCCAUUACUCCUAAUGCAGUAUUAUAUAGUUAUAAACUGAAUCUGAGACAAAUCUUAAC